UACGUAGGGGGCAAGCGUUAUCCGGAUUUACUGGGUGUAAAGGGAGCGUAGACGGCAGUGCAAGUCUGGAGUGAAAGGCGGGGGCUCAACCCCCGGACUGCUCUGGAAACUGUACGGCUGGAGUGCAGGAGAGGUAAGUGGAAUUCCUAGUGUAGCGGUGAAAUGCGUAGAUAUUAGGAGGAACACCAGUGGCGAAGGCGGCUUACUGGACUGUAACUGACGUUGAGGCUCGAAAGCGUGGGGAGCAAACGGG
rnacentral:rRNA from 1 species